rnacentral:lncRNA from 1 species
GGACCUCGCCGCUUCCACAACGAUGCUGGCUACUGAUCGCGUGCACUUCCUUGCCAAAGAAAAGAAAUUAAUGUUAUGACUGGAUGAAGACAAUUGUGAAGAAACUGCACUUUGAGGUUGUCUAUCUCUGUAUUCUGAUGGAAAAGCGUGGAGUUUAGAAGCACUGCUCACUCCUUCAGUUUCUAACAAGUUUGAGACUAUGGUUAGGUGGUGAGGAAGGCAGGCUCAGCACCCAAGCCUUGGGGAGACGCAGAAAGGGCCCAUCCCAGGCACUCAGGUGGAGAAAUUCACUGGUAUAGGUUUCCCUCAAAACACUGCUUUCACCAGUUUCCUAAAACUGAUGCUCCAGAAAGAUGCCCAGGGAGAUUCUGUCCUGCUGCGUCCGCACUGUACAGAACUGACGCUGUGCCUACGCCCGUUUCAGAAGCGUGGAGUACUUAAGAGUUAAUCUAAAAAAGCAAAUAUAAAAAUGGAUUCAAAAAAA